UACGAAGGGGGCGAGCGUUGUUCGGAUUUACUGGGCGUAAAGGGUGCGUAGGCGGCUUUUUAAGUUUGGUGUGAAAUCUCCCGGCUCAACUGGGAGGGUGCGCCGAAUACUGAGAGGCUAGAGUGUGGGAGAGGAAAGUGGAAUUCCUGGUGUAGCGGUGAAAUGCGUAGAUAUCAGGAGGAACACCGGUGGUGUAAACGGCUUUCUGGACCAUAACUGACGCUGAGGCACGAAAGCGUGGGUAGCAAACAGG
rnacentral:rRNA from 1 species